CCAAUCAAAGAAUGUUAGCUAUAUGCAGUUAUCUUAGCCAGCCAGCUAACGUUUGCUAUAUAUCCUAAGCAGCAUAACCAACCAGCACGGUUAUGGUCAGCAGAGACCAACUACCGGAGACCAAUUAUAACCCAUCUAACAGUAAGCCAAGGUGUAAAAAGUUACAAAACUCCCGUAGUCGAAUUCACAGAAAACAUGCUGAAAAGUAGUGAUGGGGAAACAAAGCUUCCUGUAGCAUUGGCUCUUUCCAGAUAAUUGUUUUUAAAAAAUAGGUUCAUUACUCAAGGCUUUGAGCGACACAGAAAGAAUUUAGAACAGCCACAUUUUGAAAGAUGACGUCCCAUACCGUAACAGCGUAGCCUUCAUGUCUUCUACGAAACCACGGGCCUUGAUCGAGAGCAUUAAGUCCAUACUGCAUUGUGGGUAAACGGUGACUAGCUGACUGCAAAGUCGAACGAGCCCAAUACCAAACCAAUCAGGUGUUCGACGAAAUGAUUCUUCAGACGUCAUUGAUCACGUGCUGCUGAUAAAGGGACACUGCUUUGAAUUAUACCGCUUAGCGAAUUCAGUACAUGCCUCAUAGCUCCAGUCUCAAACUUAACCCCGUUCCUGAUGAUGAAGAAGAGGUGGUCUGCCUGCUGGAUGGAGAAAGACGCUCUCGUGGAAGAGGAGGCUGUUACAAUACAAAAACAAGUAGAGGUUGAGGCUGUUACCGUGAAAGAAGAAGAGAAAGACGCUCUCGUGGAAGAGGAGGCUGUUACAAUACAAAAACAAGUAGAGGUUGAGGCUGUUACCGUGAAAGACGAAGAGAAAGAGCUCUCAGUUAAAGAAGAGGAAGACUCGUUCAGAGUCAAAGAGGAGGACGGCGACGUUACAGUGAAAGAAGAGGAGGGGAAGUGACUGGCACAUCGAAAAAUGAAGAAGAGGAGGAAACUGGAUAUCUGGGCCAGGUUUCCCAAGCCGCAUCUUAAGGCGUCCGAUGGUUCUAACGAUGAAGGGGCCAUCUGAUUAACCACGAGUAAGUACUGUCUUAAAACAGAAGCACAA
rnacentral:lncRNA from 1 species